GAGAAGCCGUCCGCAACAAGAAAUUCAACUUUAUUGAUUGAAUGGUUUUUAAAGACAAACGGAAAAGAAAAAUUACGACGAAGCAAAGGUACAAGAUCGGAGGUCUCAGACCUCAGGGGCGGGGGGUGGAGAACUCGGCGGGGGGGCUGCGACAGCAGUGGCGGUUGACGAGGGAUCGGCCUCGUCUUCAGACUCCUCGCCUAGGAAGCUGAGGUCGAGCUCUGGAAAUUUUCUGGCCACCUUCUCUUGGCAGAGCUCGAACCCCUUAAUG
rnacentral:lncRNA from 1 species